GAGGCGUUAGUUAACUAAUAACACCCCCUUGUCAAGGGGUAGUAACAGGUUAAACCCCUGUACUCCUCU
rnacentral:tRNA from 1 species